ACUAUUUUGGCAGAGAUUGAGUGCCAUGAAUUUAGAAUUCAUAUACGUAGUAAUUACAAAUAGUA
rnacentral:tRNA from 1 species